rnacentral:lncRNA from 1 species
GGGAGUUCAGUUUUGUGUUGAUGUUCUCCAGCUCAUUGAAAUAAGACAGCUUCUGCUGGAUGUUUUCAGCCAAGUCAACAAGUUCUGACUGCUCUUUCAGAAGCUGUUCACAGGCCUCAUGCAGCGUCCCUGUCUUCGUGGACACAAAAAGAUACUGUUUUUGCAGUGAUUCCAGAUGCUGAAGGGCACUAUUGACAUCAUUCAAUAUAGCAUCGCACUGCUCCUGAAAGCCGGACAAGUAAU